UCAAAUUUCAAUGGAAGAAAACUAGUGACUGCAAAUCCAAACUCAUCCAAAUCCAGAGUGUGAGUUUUGUUCAGAGAAGCUAAGGAGAAGAUAAUGUUGAUAACAGUGAGACAAAUCUCUUCCUGUUUGUGCUCCACCACAUUUCCAAAUCACAAUUCAGUAUCCAAGAAACCUUCUUUUUCUGCAAAGCCGCACAAUUAUGUCUACAAAUCCAUUUGCAGAGCAACUCUCACUAUCCACAAGAACACCUCCACCAGCAACAACAAUCAAAGUUGUGAGAGUUCGUCUUUUGAUCCACUGGGUAUCGAUCCAGGUGGAUUCUCAGCUAUAAAAACUGCUUGGGAAAGUGUUGUAGAAGUAUUUUCUCAAAUUUCUGAGGGCAACUCAGGCAUACGAAAAGAGAAAGCAUCAUCUGCAAGAGGAGUGGCAGCUGCUAUCGAAGAUACUAGAAUUGAUGUUGGGGAUUUCUUCAAGGGUCCACUUCCUGGAAAAUUUCUCAAGCUUUUAGGCUUUCUUGCUCUAUCGCGACUUGGUAUAUACAUACCUCUUGGUGGAGUCAAUCGGGAAGCUUUUGUUGGUAAUCUCGACCAGAAUAGCCUCUUAGGCACUCUAGAUUCAUUUUCUGGAGGGGGUAUUGGUCGGCUUGGAAUAGGCUCCCUUGGCAUUGUGCCCUUUAUCAAUGCGCAGAUUGUUUUUCAGCUUCUCACUCAAAUCUAUCCCAAAUUGCAAGAACUUCAGAAGCGAGAAGGUGAGGCUGGAAGAAAGAAGGUGCUGCAGUAUACUCGAUAUGCAUCUGUUGGCUUUGCAGUUGUGCAGGCGAUUGGACAAGUGUUGUAUCUUCGACCAUAUGUCAAUGACUUCAGCACCGAGUGGGCUCUCUCGUCCAUUAUUAUGCUGACUCUAGGCUCGGUGUUGACAACCUAUAUUGGGGAAAGAAUUACCGAUUUAAAACUUGGAAAUGGUACAUCACUAUUGAUCUUCACAAAUAUCAUAUCCUAUUUACCGGCAUCGUUUGGGAGGACAGUUGCGGAAGCAUUUAAAGACGGUAACUAUGCUGGACUAGUUGGCAUCAUUGUCUCUUUCUCCUUGCUGGUCCUUAGCAUUGUAUAUGUGCAGGAAGCAGAGAGGAAAAUCCCAAUUAAUUAUGCCUCAAGAUAUACAAGCGGAGCCGGAGGACUUCAAAAGUCUGCUUACUUACCCUUUAAGGUGAAUAGUUCAGGAGUGAUGCCCAUCAUCUUCUCUACUUCGUCCUUGGCUCUUCCAGGAACUAUAGCACGAUUUACGGGUCUGAAUUUUCUAAAGAAGGCUGCUGUAGGUUUGAACCCUGGGGGUUCUCUGUACUUGCCAACAAACAUUUUGUUAAUAGCAUUCUUUAAUUACUACUACACCUUCCUGCAACUGGACCCCGACGAUGUCAGUGAACAGCUGAAGAGGCAAGGUGCUUCAAUCCCGCUUAUCCGACCUGGAAAAAGUACUGCUCUUUUCAUCAAAACGGUACUGAGCAGAAUAUCAGUUCUGGGUUCUGUAUUCUUGGCUAUUCUUGCUGCUGGUCCUGCUGUCAUUGAGCAAGCAACACAUCUUACAGCUUUUAGGGGAUUUGCGGGCACGUCUGUCCUCAUUCUCGUUGGUUGCGCCACUGAUACAGCUAGAAAGGUCGAGGCCGAGAUCAUUUCCCAGAAGUACAAGACCAUAGAAUUCUACGACAAUGAAAAGUAUUGAGACACACACGCUACUUGUAAUUGGUGCAUGAAGCCUUGUUCGAGGUUCACUGAUUAACAAGACAUCGUCAAAUCUUGAAGCUAGUAUCGUCACUCCAAGAUUUGAGCUGAUUGUCGAGGGGGUCGUCGUUGUAGCAGCUGAAGAAUCGCUGCCUUCCA